AUUGAACGCUGGCGGCAGGCCUAACACAUGCAAGUCGAACGCCCCGCAAGGGGAGUGGCAGACGGGUGAGUAACGCGUGGGAAUCUACCCAUCCCUACGGAACAACUCCGGGAAACUGGAGCUAAUACCGUAUACGCCCUUAGGGGGAAAGAUUUAUCGGGGAUGGAUGAGCCCGCGCUGGAUUAGCUAGUUGGUGGGGUAAAGGCCUACCAAGGCGACGAUCCAUAGCUGGUCUGAGAGGAUGAUCAGCCACAUUGGGACUGAGACACGGCCCAAACUCCUACGGGAGGCAGCAGUGGGGAAUAUUGGACAAUGGGCGCAAGCCUGAUCCAGCCAUGCCGCGUGAGUGAUGAAGGCCUUAGGGUUGUAAAGCUCUUUCACCGGGGAAGAUAAUGACGGUGUCCGGAGAAGAAGCCCCGGCUAACUUCGUGCCAGCCGCCGCAGUAAAAC
rnacentral:rRNA from 1 species